UAGGUUUAAAUAAUUUUAUUCCAUGAUCUUUUUGACAUCAAUUCAUUUUGUUACAUUAAAAUGUAAACAUAAAUACAUCAUUAACAAUCGCUCAACCUCUCAAUCCUAUCAAAACAAAAUUCUCACUUAUGUUAUUAAUUCUUUUUAUUCAGCAACCCUUUUCCAUCAAAGUCUGAAUAAUAGAAAUACUUAUCAAUAUACCUUACAAUCAAUUUCAAUUGUUAGAUUUAUUGUGAAAAGGACAAAACCUUUAAAGUACGCUUAUGUGGAGGGAGGGGGUCUGCUUCUUUAAACCAAUGAAAUGUAGGCAAUACUUUCCAAUUGAUUUGACACCAUUAAGAUGAUAAAUAAUGCUUAGGGUAACCUAGAAAAACGAUGGGAAUUAAUGGGAGCUGCCAAGUUGUAUAUUUUAGAUUUGGAUAUUAAAAUUAUAAAUUUACCAUUUUCUUAAAUUCUUGAACAAUAAAGUUUAAGAUAGAACUUGUUGAUACUAUCUUGGAAACAUCAUUUCUUAAGUUGUAUAUUUUAGCUUUGGAUAUUCAAAUUAUAAAUUUACCAUCUUCUUAAAUUCUUGAACAAUAAAGUUUAAGAUAGAACUUGUUGAUACUAUCUUGAAAAUAUAAUUUCUUAA
rnacentral:lncRNA from 1 species